UACGUAGGGGGCAAGCGUUGUCCGGAUCAUUGGGCGUAAAGGGCUCGUAGGCGGCUUGGCAAGUCGGGUGUGAAACCUCCAGCUCAACCUGGAGACGCCACCCGAUACUGCCAUGGCUAGAGUCCGGUAGGGGACCACGGAAUUCCUGGUGUAGCGGUGAAAUGCGCAGAUAUCAGGAGGAACACCGGUGGCGAAGGCGGUGG
rnacentral:rRNA from 1 species